AGUGCUGACAGUGAAAGCACUUCUCUGCCGUCUGUGGCUGGAGGAUGUGGUGUUGGCAGUCGAACGUAAGAGAGGCUGGGACACACUCCUUGACAAUGACACCCACCACUAUGCAGUGAGUCUGUUGGCCAGAGAGAUGCACCAUGUCUCCAAGUCCUUCCGUGAAAGGAUCGCGUGCUACCUGGUCAUGCUGCUCAGCAGGGAGGAGUCAUGCUGGAGGGUCCCUGCCAUGGCAUUCCUUGUCGAGUUCCUGCAAUGCCUUGAAACAGAG